AAAGUUCCCGAACUCCACCGGCAUUUCCCGGAACUGUGUGCGACAAAUGUACAGGAGGAAACACAUGGCCAGGCACGCUUAUCAACUGCAUAAUAUAGAUCAAAAAUAUUGUAUUAAACAUCUGGCUGCUUUACAUCCUAAUUGAAUAUAGUAUAUUUUAAUAGCCCGACGAGUUAUCUCAGUUCGUUCAUCAUGACGUUGAUGUGCUACAACAAAGGUUGCGGACAACGAUUUGACCCAGACGACAACGCUGGUGAUACCUGCACCUUUCACCCUGGCGUGCCUGUUUUUCACGAUGCUCUUAAGGGCUGGUCCUGCUGCACGAGACGCACCACUGACUUCUCAGACUUCCUCAGCAUAGAGGGCUGCAGCAGAGGUAUCCAUAACAGAGAGAAGCCAGUGGAGCCGAUCCUGCCGGAGGUGACGAGCUCAGAGGGGAGGAGAGAGAAGGGGGAGGAGCUAAAGCCUCGUGGUGACCCCUAUAUCAUUCAGGCUCCUAAACCACUAGAGCUGAUACACAGACCCAGUGGUGAUGAGCCCCUGGUCAGACUUCAGCAGAAGGUGUUCUCCUCUCUGAGACAGGCUCUGGAGAAAGUCCAGCUGGCAGAGAGCAGGCAGCCUCACAACACAGAGGAAGAGGAGGAGGAGGUGAAGAUUGGCACGUCCUGUAAGAAUGGAGGCUGCUCCAAGUCUUUCUCUGGUCCAGGGAGUAACGAGGAGAAGUGUAAACACCACCCUGGAGUCCCUAACUUCCACGAGGGGAUGAAGUUCUGGAGCUGCUGUAGGAGGAAGUCUUCUGACUUUAACUGUUUCCUGGCCCAGGAGGGCUGUACCACAGGAAGUCACCUCUGGAGGAAACCAGACAAGGGGAUGAAGGUGGUACCAUGUAGGUUUGAUUGGCACCAGACAGGCGGCCAGGUCAUCAUCUCGAUCUAUGCCAAGAACUCUCUACCAGAGCUCAGCUAUGCAGAGGCCAACGGCACCACGGUGAUCAUCCGUGUGGUCUUUGAGGGAGAGAAGGAGUUUGAGCAGAAGAUCAACUUAUGGGGGGUGAUCGAUGUGACUAGCAGUGUGGUGAACAUGAUGUCUUUCAAGAUGGAGAUCUCUAUGGGGAAGGGGGAGCCAAUCACCUGGGCCCGUCUGGACCUGCCCUCUCCCACAGACACGCCCACUGAGGGGGGGAAUGGGAUUGGAAAGGCGUAGAACUAGACAGAAGGAAAUCAAUCACAUGUGUUUCUGUCCCAGCAGAGCGAUGUUGUGGGAGCACUUUGUCAGCGACCCAGCAUAUUGACUAGCAUCCAGGCUGAGGAGCUGGGAAUCAGCCAAUAGGAAGGUUCCCCAUCCGCCCCCAGAACAAUGUCUCUCCCACCCUGUUCUUGGUGUGUCUGGCCCUGCCUGCUGCGAUGCCGAGUCGGGAUUAAAUACACCUCAAAGUCCCAGCCUGAACCCAGUUAUCUGGUCCUACAGAGGGAGACAUACGUCGCUCUGGACAAAAGUGUCUGCUAAAUAACUAAAAUGUAAAUAAAAUCAAUCAUUCAGUCAAUAAAAGUGCAUAUGUGAUCAGAGUGAUCAUAAGUAUAUGGUGGUUGGUGAUGGGUCUGACUUGGAUGUAUCGCAGUCAUCUGUCCAGUUGUUCUGCUUGUGCCAACUCUCCUACAGAGACACCUCUCCCUCCUCUGGACUGGACACAGAGAGAGAUGGAGAGCGGAACAAACUAAUGUUUUCUGUACUUGGCAUGCAUCUGCAGGUGUGAGGUCGUCUAUUGUCGUUAGAGACUUGCUAUGACCCCUCUGAGCCUGUAGGUGGCAGCAAUACCCAUUGUGAUGUCCAGUGUGACCAUAGCUCCAUUCAAUCUAUUUAGACAAAGUGUAUUGGUGUUAGUCUGGCACUACAUUGGUCUGUACCCUGUGAAAGUAACCACAUCUUCUCUUUUACCUCUAAUCUUUUAAAUGGACUUCACGAUUAUAUCAUGAAAUUCGUGAAAACAUGGUGAUAUAUAAAAUUACAUUUGUGUUUGAAUUUACUUCUGCCAGAUGCCUUUUAUUGUGUUUCAGUGCUGAAAACCAUUGCGUUACGUUUUUCCCAUUUGAAUACCAUUGAAAAAGUCUAGAAAAGUCCCUGGAAAACAAGGCGUCACACAGUGUAAUCCUGAAAUGGACAGUUGAUAGACAGUUGAUUCAAAUUGACCUGUUUGGUGAUGUCAUACAUCAAGGGGUGGAGAGAGGGGGUGCAGUUUAUCCUCAAUGUGUACAUACCUGCAGCGCACACACACACAUCAUUUUCCAGCAGUCCAAAGUCCUGUGUCACAACUGGCAAAUACAAUGGUCCAAAUACACAAACAGACAGAAAGUACUUCACUUGUUUUUUCUGCCAGAGAAAACACAUUCUGGGCCAAAUGCAUUGAACCUCUAAAAUACAGUAUACACCACGUCUCAAUGACAAACAUAAUAUGAGGAAACAGGAUUGAUAGAACAUUCUGGAACUCCUCCAGACUGCUACAAUAUGGGAAAAGUCAUCCGUAGAGUUUUGCAUGCAAAUUAGUAUCUACGGUUUUCUGUUUUUAUGAUGCAGCUAUAGUCAUAAAGACUCAUCUCAGUACAUAGUGGUGUGUGUUAAUCUGAUCUCCCCACACACACACACCUUUGCUGAGCAGUUUCUCAACGCUCCUCACACUCUCGUGCACCCCGUUACCGGGUCGACCCCCCAAACACCCAAGCAUUCCGGUGGCCCCCCGAGGAUCACAUAGCGAUCUGCCAACAACAGAGAGAGGGGGGAGAGGGGUCACAAAUCACCAUCUGCUGUCCUCACUCUUAUGGAUGAAGUGUUGUGCUAUUUCAAAUGAAACAGUGAUGAUAGAUGUGUUGAGUUAUAUAUAUAUAUAGAGAGAGAGUAAGUGUUUAGAAAUGCAUGUGUGUACCUGUAUGUGUAUUCUGGAGGAGAGAAUGUUAUAGUCCCCCUUUAUCACAGAAACGUCCAUCUUUAUAAGAACACACACCAUUAGCAGGGUCUCCCAUGUACAGUAUCUGAAGUCCUGGAACUUGUUCAGUUCAUGUCUCAGCUUGUUGAAUCUUAUGUCCAUACAAAUAUUUGCACAUGUUAAGUUGUUUAAAAUAAAUGCAGUUGACAGUGA